rnacentral:lncRNA from 13 species
AUGCCAACAGAGUCAUCACCUGUAGGAAAGAAUGGGCAUAGUUUUCUCCCUAUGUAUUUCAAGUCCUGGUGUCUUGAAGAGGAAACUAGGCUUAAAGUCCCCUUAAAGAGGGAUGCCAGAGAAACAGACCUAUCUCUUCUUCCAGAGGAAAUUGAUGGCUGCUGGAUGAAACCUGAGAGCAGAGAUGUCACUGCCAAGUGUUCCUGAGCUGAAUGAAGAGGACUCCAGUGCGGCUAGAGAUCCACUGAUAGGGCAUGAAGGGUGACACAGGUAAUGUGUAUUAGAUGAGCUGCUGCCAGGUUAUGUGUUUGGCAAAACUGGAAAUCUUCCAGGGGCACUUUUAAUACUUUUGGGAUUAAUCUAAGCUGAUGCACUGAUGGAUGGGGGUUAGCAGUGUGGGGACUGCUCUGAGUGACAAAAAGGAGGGAGCGACUCACACUCUGAAAACACAAUUCACUUAUACAAAAGUUGUGCUUUAUCCCCUAUUGCAUGUUCCUGGAGGUGAAAACCAUCCCUGUUAAGAUGCUGGAGGUGUGUUGUGGCUUGUGAGUCAGCACCUUUGAGGAGUUUGUGGUGGGAGUUGAGAACUUACUGAAGUGUAAUGUACAAGAAAACAGAAGAGCUCCUGAUAUGUGUCCAGUGUCUCUGUUCAGCUUGGUGAGAAUUUAUAACAAACAUCACGUCUUCUACCAGUGGGUUGUGACUCCCUCCUGGUGUGUUACAGGCUGUCUGUUUUCUGUACUGGGAAGUUCUUGGGAUCUAUGAUGGCCAUAAAAAUGAGCAGAGAGAACCCCUGAAAUGACAGUAUCUUUCAAAGCCACCAUCCUACAUAGAGUUGCAUUGUCUAUCUGCCCUUGAUUGCCUCCUUUGGUCCCUGAGCCAGAAUGCACUAAUCCCCUCACAGAUUUUUCUAUGAUGACACAGCUGAAAAACAGACUAGAGCAUAUGUUUGAAAUCCAGAUAACAGAAAGGCAGACUGUGCUGGGAGAAAGUCCAAUACAAUUUAAAGAAAGUCACACUGCUGUAAGGUUCCAUCACUCAAAGUUACAUGAUACAAAAAAAAUAAAGUACGGAGAACUUAGUUUUAAUUUAGUAGAAGUAAUUUUGAUUUGAGGUAGGCUGCAUGCAAUCUACUGAAAAAAAUAAUUUAUAGACUUCAAUUGUAAAAAAGAGUGAAGCCUUUUGCUUCAAAGAGCCCAUCAGCAAGCUGCCUUUCCCGUUUUAUCAGUAAGCGAAGCUGAGAGCAAAUAACAGAUGGGUAUGUCCCUUAGCGCCAGCAGUGAAUGUUCAUGAAAUAUAGCACAGUCUACCUCCAAUGUACUGUGUUUUUUAACAGUAGUAGUAGGUGUGGGGCAAGAUGAAUAAUUAGCUCAGAUCAAAGAUCCCUUUUUUCCUACUGAGAAGAUGGCAGAGGCUGGCCCUUGGGAAAUGACCAUAUUAUUUUGGUGUGGUGGUUGAAGCAGAGACAAACAGCUUCAGCAGACACAUAGAAUGAAUUUUAGGGGGUGAUAGGAGCAUGAGAAAGAUUUUAAUGUCUAGAUUCAGAUCCCCUCAAAAGAACAAAAAUGCCACUUAACUCAUUGCCUCAUCGGGAGGCAAAUAAACCUCUUCUAGCCAUAGAAAAAACUAAGAUUAGAUUCUCCAGUGGACUUAGUACUGCAAUGCAGGGAGAUGAUGCAGAGGGAGAGCCAGUUUGCAUUGCUUGGAUGGCUGGAUAGAGCACUGGAGGGAGCAUGGCUGUGUUUGAUCAACAGUCUCCCUGGGCACACACAACCCAGCCCAGUUAUCAGUGGACUCUGCUAACACAGCCAGAGCCCUUCUGAUACCUGUGUUGCCUUGAAUAGCACCACCUGGAUUUGAAAAUACCUCUUAAACGAUAAGACUGGGGCUUAUAAAAACCAGUAUGUUGAGUAGGAAGCUGUUUAGCCUGCCCAGCAGAAAGCAAGAGAAAUGUUUAGAUGCCUUACUCAGAAAUGAGAGGGGAAGAUCUCUGUGUGUGUUCAGGGUGCAGAGCUGUAAAAGUUAGCCAACCUUUCCCUGCUCUGAAAAAGCAAACAAGCAGAAAAACCCUAUGAAUCAAAGAAUCACAGAAUGGGAGGGACAACUUUCAACAGACUGGGUUGUUCAGAGCUCCAUCCAAUCCAGCCUUGAACACUUUCAGGGAUGGGGCAUCCACAACUUCUCUGGGCAAACUGUUCCAGUGCUUAAUCAUCCUCACAGUAAAGAAUUUCUUCCUAAUAUCUCUCUUCACAGAAGUGGUAUUCCAGGUCUAUGAUCACAAUCCUGGACCUUCUCUGGACUCACUGGGAGAGGGUCACCAGUGUCACGCCAAGCUUUCUGAGGGCUUGAGGGGAUUUUGGUUUCUACCACUACUGAGAAAGAGAGAGAGAUGCUAUCUCCCUGAGCUGGGGUUCCUCACUGAUUUAAUAUUGAAUCCAUUUUUGCAAGCAGAGACAAUUCAGCAUAUCCCUGGGUGAUGAGGGAACUCCUAGUGAACACUCCAGGGGAUUUGUCAUGGCAUAAGUGCUGGGGAGGCCUGUGUGUAUUCAGCCUGAAAAAUUCUGUGUGUCAAGGUAAGUAUUAGUCCAGUAUUUUCAGCAUCAAAAUUUCAGAUGAAUGCAGUUUUGGCACAAGAUAAAGAACUAAGUCUCAUCUGAAAAAUCUAUUUCUUACUUUCCCAAUUACAAAAGGGACAACUGUUUUGCAUGUGUUCACUAUCUGUUAGUUUAUGCUUAGCUACUCAACUGUUACUCUAGCUCUAUUUGAUAGAAAAUGCCAGAGGGCCAGAUUGUUAAACAGUGUAAAUUAACCAGUUCCACUGACAGCAGCUGAUUUUCAUAAGCAGGAAUUCGGCGCCCUUAAUGUGUCCAUAUUCCCACUCCUGGGUGGGUUUAAAAGAAAAGCAGUGUGAUUUGUUUGCAAACAAAUAGAAACCUGUAAACUGAAGUUAUGCUUCAGCUGUGGUGGUUCAGACUUUCAGACUGUGAAAUGUUCCAGGGCCAUGGAAUUUUUGCCUGGUAUUCAAGUUAUGUUAAAGCUUAUAGGUAUAAGUGACAUCGUGCUUGUUCCAGCAUUCUAAGCAUCCCAAAUACUUCAGGUGACUGCUGGUAGGUUGAAUGUGAGUUGAAUUUCACUUGGUUUAAAAUUCUAUAUCUGGAAAUAUAAAGUAGUUUGGAUAGAGGCGAUGUGAAUUCAGAAUAAACUCAAGUUCAGAUAUAGUUUCACUAGGGUCAGAUCUUUUGUGUGCUUGUGAACAAUAAAAUUCCAGGAUAUCACAUUCAGAUUAGACUUGGAGGAAUGUUUUAUAUAAUCCCCUGAGAAAGCAAACCAAAACUCCAUGAAACCAAAAGCACAGGCUUUUUAAUUCUCCUGGAAUGGUAGAUGAAGAAUAUUGUAUUGUGCUCAUGCACCCAUAUAAUUGCAAACAAGAUAAUAUAUUUGUAAAAGUGAGAUUCUGGCAUGUUUUGAAGUAUAAUGGUGUAAAGAAGCCACUGAGGAAGUAAGAAAAUAAAACCCCCAAACCAAAGCAAAAAUCAUUAUCAGAAGACCAAAAAAAAGUUGCAUACAUUACCCCAGACAGAAAAUAUGCCCUGGAAAAAAAACAGGAGGUGCUUUAGUGGCAAUACCCAAAUGGAGAAACAACAAGAAAAUAAUAGCCAGAAAAAGAAGACAACAACAUAAAUGAGGCAAAAACAUUUGGAAGUCUGAUAAGAAGAUAUACACAACGUAUCUUUGGGCUUUGUUUUUGCAGUGGUUUUUACACUUACAUUAUUGAAUGGCUGUAAAAUUCUGGUACAUAUAUAGAACUGGGUUAUUUGGAAUAUUCAUCAUCCUGUAGGUGGGAAACCCUUCCAAAUUUAUUUUAGUAGCUAUUUGGUUUACUUUAAAUUUUUUGUCUGUUGAAAGGAAUAUUAACUUCUCAUUCAUGUGUGCCAAAGGGUAACAAGGAUUAAAAAAACCAGUUUCCCUGAGGAAGAAAUAAAAUCAGACUUUCUUGGUUACUGGUACUAUAUAACUAAAUAUUACAACAGUAGCUAUGAGAGUUAUUUGUGUCCAUUACAUAUAAAAAUCCAACUGAAGAAAAAAAUGAUGGUAAACCACUAUGUAAGCAUUAUGAGCUUCCGGUAGUAAAAAGAGAAAAACAUGAGUAGUUUAUAAUGUCUUCAGACUCCCAGGACACUUAUAUACCCAUAUCAUGUUUUUCUAGUUUCAAGACUUUCAUUAUCCUAUACCACCAUGAGGAGCAACAUGAUUUUCCUGUGUUU